rnacentral:lncRNA from 1 species
AUAAUCACAUUCCCGUCAUUUUUAACCAAUCUUCAGGAACAGAAAAAAAUGUGCAUAAGUCAAAGAAAUGAACUUGCCAAGACAAGGGUGAAAGAAAAGUUUGAAAAUUCCAAAAUCAAGAAAAGAUUCAGCACUGACAAUGAUUUUCUUCAAGUAUUUACUGUAAGUUCUAAAGCAUUCUUCGACACCAGUUUAAAUCUGGAAUCUAUCGAAACAGAAAUCCCAAAGCUGCAGAUUGAUCUGAGGAGCCUUAACAAGAGCAUUAAUCAAGAACUGACAAGAGAAUAUGUCAAUGAAGCAAAGGGAGUUCUGUCUCUGAUCCAAAGUGUCCAGCUGGAUACAGACAAGAAAACAGCUGAAACGAAAGACAGAAUCCGCAUGGAACUUGAAAACAAUCUAAUGAAGGCACUAAAUGAAUUGGAGACAUAUUUUGACAACAUUUAUAAUGAUUUGGAGCAACGUCUAUCAAAGGGAGUGGAAGAAUCAGUGCAAUCAUGUGUUGCUUCCACAAAGGCAUUUAUAAUGCCG